CUUGCUCUUUCUCAGGCUAUAGUGCAGUGGUGCUAUCAUGGUUCACUGCAGCCUCCAAUUCCCUGGCUCAAAUGAUCCUCCCACCUCAACCUCCUGAGUAGCUGGGACUACAGGCAUGUACCACCUCGCCUGGCUAAUUUUUGUACUUUUUGUAGAGACGGGGUUUUGCUAUGUUGGCUAGGCUACCUUCAGAGAAUAUUAUACCACUUCACAAAGAAGUUGGAAGAGGAAACAUUAGGAAUUUCCUUUCAAACUCCAAUCAAAACAGCCCAUUUGAAUAUUUUUUUAAAAAAAUUCCAAAAAUUCUUCCUGUGAGGAUGCAUUGGCUAAAGCAGGUCAAAGUUGCUGAAGAGGACUAAGCGAGCCUCUUGGGGAAGAUGAUAUCAUCUGAUCUGUACACAUGUCACAUUCAGAACAUUCUGCAUGGCUGCUGCUGAGCUCCCAUCUGUCAGAUCUCAACAGAGAGAACAAAGACUAGAGAUGUGAGUAAUUCAAGAAACAUCCAUUUACUAGCUGAAAAAACAAAUAAAAUUAGGAGGAGCCACUUUCUUCUUGUUACAUGUUACUGAUACGUGUUCUACCUGGCCAUACCACACAUUACAUAAAAUGUAUUCAACUACUUUACUGUCAUUUGCUUAAAUUGUCUUAUUUUUAGAAACUUGUUCAUAAUAACUACAAUCUCUAUAAGCAUAGUACAAAAUAACUACAAGCAUAAUCAAUACAAUUGUAUUUAGACAAUAAGAGAUAUUUUUAUUUGGUACAGAUCUUGGGAAAUGCGGUAUUGGUCUUCUACACUGCUUCAAAUACAGAAUAGGCUUUUCUUAAUACAUGAGUUAAAUUUAAUGUUUGCAUAUACAUCACAUAAAAAUAAAAUGUUUCACCCUGAAAAUGCUAUUAGAAAGAAUUCAGCAAAGUAGAUAUCUGGGAAAAUAAGCUGAAAAGAAAUUUAUUCAUUUCCAAGAAGAUUAAUGAUAAUGUGCCACAGGUAUUCAUAUUCCACAUUUUAUCUUCUAGUGUCAACUCAUCUAACAGUGGGCCAAUAAGUAAUAUAUAAAUCUUCUGCCUUUAAUAUAUUUUUGCUUACUGAGAGCUAAAGUAACAUCGAUUUACUCCUAUAUAUUAUAUGAGCACUUGAAAUGUUUAUACAAUGCAUACUUUAUUUUAAGAUUGAAUAUAGAAGAGAUAUUUUGACAUAAAUGGGAAUAAAACCAUAAAAAUUUUUUACACUGAAAAUUAAUAUACCUUUGAGUUACGGCUCAUUGUGCUCUAAAAAGUGACUUUCUUAGAUUGAAUUACUCCUCUACAUAUGAGACACCAAGAAGUUAAUGUUUUAUUCAGUAAGAAUGAACAAUUUGCUAUCUGUCAGAUGCUUAGCCAUGUGCUAGGACUACAAAAAUAAAUUAAUAAAUAAGAUAGAUACAGACUUUUUUCCCAUCAAGGAGCUCAAAGUUAAGAAGAGGUAAAAGACACUUUGGGAGGCCGAGACGGGCGGAUCACGAAGUCAGGAGAUCGAGACCAUCCUGGCUAACACGGUGAAACCCCGUCUCUACUAAAAAUACAAAAAUUAGCCGGGCAUGGUGGCGC
rnacentral:lncRNA from 1 species